UAUAAAACCGGAGGAGAACAAGGAAGCAGUGCUCAGAAUUUGGAGGCAUGCCCCUCUGAGCCCGCUGGUGGAAUAAAGGCUGAGUCUCCGACCCUCCGUGUGCCGCUGGUUCUUUCCCCGGUCAAUUGCUGUUGACACUUGCUGUGCGCUUGCUGGAACAAGGUCUGUUACAAAUCCAUCUUGCAACAACUCGAUAGCAUGACAAAGAACAAUGCAGAGCCCAGAAAACACGCCCUUCCCACUCUGGCACUGCCACCGGAAGACACGGAGAUCAAGCAAUACGUGGCCUCAUCCACACAGAUCCUUCCGGAUGAAUCCAAGUAAUUUAGAGCCCUGGGCUGGUAAUGCCUUCCUGGUUAUUAGGCGGCUGUCUGUUAUUGUCAUAUGCCUUACAGAUGGCAACAGCGUGCCAACCCUUACAAGUUCUUUAGGAGAAGUAGGAAAUAAAUAAAACAACAACUAAUUGCA